GAUAACAGGCUGAUGACUCCCAAGAGCUCUUAUCGACGGAGUCAUUUGGCACCUCGAUGUCGACUCAUCACAUCCUGGGGUUGAAGAAGGUCCCAAGGGUUCGGUUGUUCGCCGAUGAAAGUGGUACAUGAGUUGGGUUUAGAACGUU
rnacentral:rRNA from 1 species